UCACUGGACGGCUGGGUGGCUGACACAACAACAACAAGGUUAAAGCACAGGUGUUGAAGGCAUUAAAGCACAGGUGUUGAAGGCAUUAAAGCACAGGUUGAAGGCAUUUAAUUAUGGUCACCUGUGUGUAGGAGACGAAGUUUCAUGGCGACAUUGUGCCGUGGGUUCAAACCAACAACCCUUAAGGCAGGAGGUGAGGGCUCAUCCAUUUAGCUGCUGCACCAAAUUUUAUAAGGAAGUGCUCUGCACCAAUUGUUCCGGCUAACGGAGAGGU